GUCGAACGAUGAUGCCCAGCUUGCUGGGCGGAUUAGUGGCGAACGGGUGAGUAAUACGUGAGUAACCUGCCCUUGACUCUGGGAUAAGCCUGGGAAACUGGGUCUAAUACUGGAUACUACCUCUUACCGCAUGGUGGGUGGUGGAAAGGGUUUUACUGGUUUUGGAUGGGCUCACGGCCUAUCAGCUUGUUGGUGGGGUAAUGGCUCACCAAGGCGACGACGGGUAGCCGGCCUGAGAGGGUGACCGGCCACACUGGGACUGAGACACGGCCCAGACUCCUACGGGAGGCAGCAGUGGGGAAUAUUGCACAAUGGGCGGAAGCCUGAUGCAGCGACGCCGCGUGAGGGAUGACGGCCUUCGGGUUGUAAACCUCUUUCAGUAGGGAAGAAGCGAGAGUGACGGUACCUGCAGAAGAAGCGCCGGCUAACUACGUGCCAGCAGCCGCGGUAAUACGUAGGGCGCAAGCGUUGUCCGGAAUUAUUGGGCGUAAAGAGCUCGUAGGCGGUUUGUCGCGUCUGCUGUGAAAGCCCGGGGCUCAACCCCGGGUCUGCAGUGGGUACGGGCAGACUAGAGUGCAGUAGGGGAGACUGGAAUUCCUGGUGUAGCGGUGAAAUGCGCAGAUAUCAGGAGGAAC
rnacentral:rRNA from 1 species